GGUGUUCGUCUUCUCUGGCUUCCUCAGGUUCGUCUCCUGGUCUCUCAGGUUGCGGGGUACACUGGGGGUACCAAGGGCAUACGGGGGGCCAUGAUGCGUCAUAGUAUGGAGUGCACACUGGGGGGUAUGAUGGGUGGUAGAACGGAGGGCACACGGGGCAGCACGGAGGCAGAGGCGGAUUCGAUGGCAGAGGAGAAGGCCAAGGUAGAGGUGUAGAUGGAGCCAUCGGCAGAGGCAAAGAUGGAGUCAGAGUCAGAGGCGGAGGCGAAUUCGGAGGCAGAGGCGUAGAUGGAGCCAUCGGAGGUGGCGGAGGUGGAGUCAUCGGCGGAGGCGG
rnacentral:lncRNA from 1 species